UACGGAGGGGGCUAGCGUUGUUCGGAAUUACUGGGCGUAGAGCGCACGUAGGCGGUUUUGCAAGUCAGAGGUGAAAGCCCGGGGCUCAACCCCGGAAUUGCCUUUGAGACUGCAUCGCUAGAAUUGUGGAGAGGUAAGUGGAAUUCCGAGUGUAGAGGUGAAAUUCGUAGAUAUUCGGAAGAACACCAGUGGCGAAGGCGACUUACUGGACACAUAUUGACGCUGAGGUGCGAAAGCGUGGGGAGCAAACAGG
rnacentral:rRNA from 1 species